rnacentral:lncRNA from 1 species
GCUUUCAGGCUCCCCCACCCCACCCCUCAUCACCCCGCUGCCGCAGUCCUCCGCUGAAUGUGUGUACCCUGCCUUCUUCUUCUCCUCCGCGUCCCCUCUACGCGGCACAGCCAAAGACUUUCCCUCCUCGUCCCGCUUUAGGCACCCACCCUUUGCCACGUCCCUGACCCCACCGCCGCUACAUCAUACGCGGCACAUCGUGGCCUGACUCGCCUUACCAUAUGUUCGUUUCUCCUCCUUACUCUCGUUCUCUGUCCAUAUCCCUUUCUCUCUUUUUCUCCUUCCCUCUCUUUUUUCCUUCCUUUUUCUCUUUCUCACUCACUCUAUCUCGCUAUGGCCGCGCAUCACACAUCACCAACUCUACUCGGCGCACACUGUCGCCGAAGUCGGUGGAUUACGUGCCAGCGGGCCCCUAAGAGAUCUCUUCGAAGUUCCUCUUUUUUUUUUGUGAGACGCCUCCAUGGAUCGUAGAGAAAGGAAGCGGUCGAAGUGCGUCUUUCUUAGAUAUUUUCUGACGUGCGUGUUGUGGGAAUAGCUAUGAUUAUUCGGGACCAGUUUACGUGCCAAAGUUCUACUAUCAAUCAAUUGGUACGAGGAGAAAUGUAAAUUUUUUCCGAAGCUCUUGGUAUGAAAAUUUUAAGGAAUUUGCAUGACUUAUAAAAUAAGAAAUUAAAAACGAAAUGAAAAGACUGCUUUUGAUGUGCGUAUAACGGAUACUUUUAAAAUUGAUUUAUUUAGGAAAGUAAUUUACGCGUUUGUUACAUAUGUUUACAAGAUAUUUCGUAUCUUUUUGACUGUAAUUUUGUUAAGCACUUAUAAUUUACGUUUCAAAAUGGUAUCAAGGUAUCAAGUUUGUUAACAAAUCUCUAUCGAAUAAAUAUUGAAGCUUCUCUUUUUACGUCGCUUUGGCCACAACUUAUCUUUGUUUAUUGUACUGUAUAUUUAUCUAUAUUUUCAAGACGCAAUCUGAGUUGUAUAAACUGUAUAAACGGUUCGUGCGUACAGACAGCUUUUGACAACACAAUCUUCAACAUAUUAAUGACGCAUCGUCAUGCAUCAUCGAAGACUAACCCUCUUGGCGCACUUCACGACAAGCACCUUGCGACUUCACUCCGCAUUUCGCGAAAAGAAACGAAGUGGACGGUGCAGCACCUUCAGACCGCACACGUGGACUAGUUAUCUGUAACGCGCUUAUUAAUAUGUAUAGUAAAUAUGUUUUUAAAAUUUUGAAAAAAAUUUAUAUACCUUCUAUGAAUUUUGUAUAAAUAAAAACUAGAAUAAUAAAUUUGAAAUAUGAUUUGUCUAAAUAUAUUGUUAUUGUAAAUGUAUGAAGUAGAAAAUUGAUACUCUUAGAAAUUGUACGGAUAAAAAUGUAUCACCAGUACAGAGUAAGUAUUAACAAAGUCUGUACAUAUAUGGUAUAUAGGUGAAAAAUAUUAUUAAAAUGUAAUUUAAAAUAUUAUUAAAUAUUAUAUAUAAGUAAAAAAAGAUUAUUACAAUCGGUAAAUAUGUAAAUAGUUCAAACUCCCCAAAACUAGAUUGAACAUUCUAAGAUACUUUCCAUUAAAUGAAUAUUUUGCUGAAAAAUUCAAUAGAAAUCUGUAUUUCACGGAACACUUGAAUAAAUAACGUAAAGCCGAAGUCGAAGUCGGGACGACUAACCUGCAUAAAUUCCCGUCGAAAAUCCGGCGCUCGCCGUAACGCAAAAUUUUCACUGAAUUUUCCGCGACGGUGCAUCGAGCCUUCGGCUCGCGUACACAUUCGCGCGUAAUUUUAGAGCGCGACCGCG